UGAUAAAUACUAUUCAUAAUAAUAAAAAAAAAAACUAUAAAUACUAGGUACAUAAGCCAAAAUGUAAGUCAAGUUGAUAAAAAUGUACUUAUCUUCAAAAGAAAUUGAGUGAUUGAAAGUGCUCCUCCCCUAUUAUCUAACAUCGUCUUCAUCUUAAUUCUUCCUCCUCCUUCAUCUAUUUCGUUAUGGUCUGAGGUUCAGGAACAGUCCGAGCUUCAGCCAGUGGUUUGAAGUUCAGUUGCAGCAGUUUUGGACUUCAAAUUUCAGACCACUGAUUUGAAGUUCAGGUGCAACAUUGGUCUAAAAUUCAGAUUUCAAGAACUACAUUCCCUGUGGCUUCCCAAAAUGAAUCAGCCAAAAAAUGGAAAUAUGAUGCCUUCUUGAGUUUUGAGGGGAAGAUAUCCGCAAAACUUUUAGUUCUAUCUCUGCUCCUGCUUGGAACAAACUGGAAUUUGCAUAUUUAAAGAUGAUGUUAGUGUGUAAUGUGGCCUUUGUUUGAUUCACUCUUACUUUGUCAAAGGAAGUUUCUACCAAAUACUUGUAGAAGAUUAGUUUUUGGACUUGUCAAACAAGGUUGCUACUUGUUCAAACAAGGUUGCUACUUAUUCAAACAAGUUGCUACUUGUUCAAACAAAGUUUGCUACUUGUCUCCAUUUUCAUCUCUAUAAAUAGGAGCCUUCUUUCUCAUUUGUAAUGCACAUCAAAUUACAAGAGUUCUCUUUCAUUCUCUUGUAUUUAUUCCCUUUCUAUUAGAGUAUUAAGUUAAGAGAGUGGGUGUUGGGAAACACUUUUGUGAGUACUUUCUUUUAGAGUGAUCUUGUGAGGUUUUCUCUUAGGAUAUUUGGGUUAAUUAGAGUGACUACUCUAAUUUUGUAAUCUCUCCAUUGUACUCUUGUUGAUAUAGUGAAGUUGUUCCUCUCCGCUCGUGGACGUAGGUCACACUGACCUAACCACGUUAAAUUUGUGCCUCCUUUAUUUUCUCAACUUAUCGUUAUUAUCAUAUUUGUUAUUGUCUUUGUUAUUGUCAUUAUAACAUUGUUUGGCUAAAUUCUACAAUAACCGGGUUCUCGAUCCUAAUAAAUUGGUAUCAAAGCCGAAUCUAACCAGGUUAUUUUCACUAGCCAAAAAUGACUAUAACAAAGACUUACAUUGAGAAAUUUGAUCGAAGUGCAAACUUCAGAAUGUUGCAAUUAAAGAUGGAAGCUAUCCUAAUUCAUGAUGGCUUAGAUAUGGCACUAGAAGGAAAUGAGAAGAAGCCAGAAAAAAUAACGAACGAAGAAUUUGCCGUCAUAGACAAAAAGCCAAAAUCAGGUAUUAUUCUAAAUCUUUCAAAUGAGGUUUUACGUGAAGUAUCUGCAGAAACCACAGCAAAAGACAUGUGGGAAAAACUAAAAUCCUUGUAUAUGAAGAGGACAGUGAAAAAUGGACUGUACCUGAAGCAAAAACUUUACACAUUUCGUAUUGACUUUACCUCUAUACUUUCACAUCUUGUUGCUUUUGAUUCUAUUCUUAUGGAUUUGAGUAAUAUAGACAUUGAAGUUAAAGAUGAA